ACCACGUUGAAACACCGGUUCUCGUACGAUCACUGAAGAUAAGCAACGUCAAGAUUGGUCAGUACCUUGAUGGGUGACCGCUUGGGAAUAGUAUCUGCUGUAA